UUGCUUUCUCGAGCGAGUGGCGAACGGGUGAGUAACGCGUGAGGAACCUGCCUUUCAGAGGGGGACAACAGUUGGAAACGACUGCUAAUACCGCAUAAUGUAUUUCGGAGGCAUCUCUGGGAUACCAAAGGAGCAAUCCGCUGAAAGAUGGGCUCAUAUCUGAUUAGCUAGUUGGUGAGGUAACGGCUCACCAAGGCUGCGAUCAGUAGCCGGCCUGAGAGGGUGAACGGCCACAUUGGGACUGAGACACGGCCCAAACUCC
rnacentral:rRNA from 1 species